GACGAACGCGGCGGCGUGCUUAAUACAUGCAAGUAGAACGCUGAAGGAGGGGCUUGCUUCUCUGGAUGAGUUGCGAGCGGGUGAGUAACGCGUAGGUAACCUGCCUGGUAGCGGGGGAUAACUAUUGGAAACGAUAGCUAAUACCGCAUAAGAGUAGAUGUUGCAUGACAUUUGCUUAAAAGGUGCAAUUGCAUCACUACCAGAUGGACCUGCGUUGUAUUAGCUAGUUGGUGGGGUAACGGCUCACCAAGGCGACGAUACAUAGCCGACCUGAGAGGGUGAUCGGCCACACUGGGACUGAGACACGGCCCAGACUCCUACGGGAGGCAGCAGUAGGGAAUCUUCGGCAAUGGACGGAAGUCUGACCGAGCAACGCCGCGUGAGUGAAGAAGGUUUUCGGAUCGUAAAGCUCUGUUGUAAGAGAAGAACGAGUGUGAGAGUGGAAAGUUCACACUGUGACGGUAUCUUACCAGAAAGGGACGGCUAACUACGUGCCAGCAGCCGCGGUAAUACGUAGGUGGCAAGCGUUAUCCGGAUUUAUUGGGCGUAAAGAGAGUGCAGGCGGUUUUCUAAGUCUGAUGUGAAAGCCUUCGGCUUAACCGGAGAAGUGCAUCGGAAACUGGAUAACUUGAGUGCAGAAGAGGGUAGUGGAACUCCAUGUGUAGCGGUGGAAUGCGUAGAUAUAUGGAAGAACUCCAGUGGCGAAGGCGGCUACCUGGUCUGCAACUGACGCUGAGACUCGAAAGCAUGGGUAGCGAACAGG
rnacentral:rRNA from 1 species